rnacentral:rRNA from 1 species
CCUACGGGUGGCAGCAGUGAGGAAUAUUGGUCAAUGGACGAGAGUCUGAACCAGCCAAGUAGCGUGAAGGAUGACUGCCCUAUGGGUUGUAAACUUCUUUUAUAUGGGAAUAAAAUGUUCCACGUGUGGGAUUUUGUAUGUACCAUAUGAAUAAGGAUCGGCUAACUCCGUGCCAGCAGCCGCGGUAAUACGGAGGAUCCGAGCGUUAACCGGAUUUAUUGGGUUUAAAGGGAUCGUAGGUGGAUUGUUAAGUCAGUUGUGAAAGUUUGCGGCUCAACCGUAAAAUUGCAGUUGAAACUGGCAGUCUUGAGUACAGUAGAGGUGGGCGGAAUGCGUGGUGUAGCGGUGAAAUGCUUAGAUAUCACGAAGAACUCCGAUUGCGAAGGCAGUUCACUGGACUGCAACUGACACUGAGGCUCGAAAGUGUGGGUAUCAAACAGGAUUAGAUACCCUUGUAGUC